rnacentral:rRNA from 1 species
GACGAACGCUGGCGGCGUGCUUAACACAUGCAAGUCGAGCGGUAAGGCCCUUUCGGGGGUACGACGAGCGGCGAACGGGUGAGUAACACGUGGGUGACCUGCCCUCAGCUCUGGGAUAAGCCUGGGAAACUGGGUCUAAUACUGGAUAUGACUCCACGGUGCAUGUCGUGGGGUGGAAAGCCUUGUGCGGCUGAGGAUGGGCCCGCGGCCUAUCAGCUUGUUGGUGGGGUGAGGCCUACCAAGGCGACGACGGGUAGCCGGCCUGAGAGGGCGACCGGCCACACUGGGACUGAGACACGGCCCAGACUCCUGCGGGAGGCAGCAGUGGGGAAUCUUGCGCAAUGGGCGAAAGCCUGACGCAGCGACGCCGCGUGAGGGAUGACGGCCU